rnacentral:siRNA from 1 species
UGCUUGAACCGCACAUGUACCGCU